rnacentral:rRNA from 2 species
GCUCCCAACGCGACCCCAGGUCAGUCGGGACUACCCGCUGAGUU